rnacentral:rRNA from 1 species
GCAAAUGGGGGGCAAGGGGCGGGGGGAAAACGAAGGAUGCGAGCGUUAUCUGGAGUUAUUUGGGUGAAAGGGGGCGUAGGCGGCCUUAUAAGUCAGUGGGGAAAUCCUAUCGCUUAACGACAGACGUGCCAUGGAUACUGUAGGGCGUGAGUAUAGAUGCCGUUGGCGGAAUGGGGCAUGUAGCGGUGAAAUGCAUAGAUAUGACACAGAACACCGAUUGCGAAGGCAGCUGACGAAACUAUAACUGACGCUGAUGCACGAAAGCGUGGGGAUCAAACAGGAUUAGAUACCCCGGUAGUC